UAAUUUUGCGAUUGAUGGGGUCAUUUAAGUUUAUGUUAAGGGCCCAUAGCUCAGGCGGUUAGAGUGCACCCCUGAUAAGGGUGAGGUCGGUAGUUCGAAUCUACCUGGGCCCACCAUUCAAUCAGGCAAGGGGCCGUAGCUCAGCUGGGAGAGCGCCUGCUUUGCAAGCAGGAUGUCAGCGGUUCGAUCCCGCUCGGCUCCACCAAUUGCGAAUUUAUAGUUUUUUUGUUCUAGGGAUUUUUUUUUAGAGCGAUAGUUUUUUGAAAAUUGAAUAGAAGGUAGAUUUUUUUGUAUUUUUUAUAUUGGCAUUGUAU
rnacentral:tRNA from 1 species